UGUAGGCUGCAACUCGCCUACACGAAGCUGGAAUCGCUAGUAAUCGCGGAUCAGCACGCCGCGGUGAAUACGUUCCCGGGCCUUGUACACACCGCCCGUCACACCAUGAGAGUCUGUAACACCCAAAGCCGGUGGGAUAACCUUUAUAGGAGUCAGCCGUCUAAGGUAGGACAGAUGAUUAGGGUGAAGUCGUAACAAGGUACC
rnacentral:rRNA from 1 species